GUCUAUUCUGCAUUGUGUUUGUGCUUAUAAUGCAGUUCCCUUCAUCCUGGGAGUUUUCAUUAGCUCAGUUCUGUCAUAAAUAGAAGAAUGUGGAAGCCAGGAACCAGAUGCUUUUCAAUGCAUUAUCAUCACUCAGCAAUGGGCAUGGUGUUAAUACAGUUAAAGAAACAGGCUGCCUCAUUCAUAAAAAAGUGCCAGAUAGGCAUUAAAAGGGGCAACUCUCUUCAUCUACAGAGCAGUUUCAGCAAAGACUGGUGCUGGAUCUCGACCCUCCGCGCUAAAUGAUAAGUAUCUCCAGAUCCGAAUGCUGGAACUCGAAUGUUGGGACAACAAUAAGUAUAACGUUGGCGGACCUUGAGCGUGUCCUGGCUGGACUACAAAGAGAGCACUCACCAUAGACACUUGGCUGUCUCCCGGGACCACGACCUUGACUCUACUGGGGAAUGGAAUGUCCGAGGAGUGCCAACCAGACACAGCAAGACAGUUACCUGAAA